UACCAGCACCCCGAGUGGUCGGGACGAUUAUUGGGCCUAAAGCAUCCGUAGCCGGUCAUGCAAGUCUUCCGUUAAAUCCAGCCGCUCAACGGUUGGGCUGCGGAGGAUACUACGUGGCUAGGAGGCGGGAGAGGCAAGCGGUACUCAGUGGGUAGGGGUAAAAUCCUUUGAUCCAUUGAAGACCACCAGUGGCGAAGGCGGCUUGCCAGAACGCGCUCGGCGGUGAGGGAUGAAAGCUGGGGGAGCAAACCGG
rnacentral:rRNA from 1 species